GGUGGCGACCGGCGCACGGGUGCGUAACGCGUAUAGAACCUACCUUUUACAGAGGGAUAGCCCAGAGAAAUUUGGAUUAAUACCUCAUAGAAUUAUAGAGUGGCAUCAUUUAAUAAUUAAACAUUUAUGGGUAAGAGAUGGCUAUGCGUCCUAUUAGUUAGUUGGAGAGGUAACGGCUCACCAAGACAGCGAUAGGUAGGGGUCCUGAGAGGGAGAUCCCCCACACUGGUACUGAGACACGGACCAGACUCCUACGGGAGGCAGCAGUGAGGAAUAUUGGUCAAUGGGCGCAAGCCUGAACCAGCCACGCCGCGUGCAGGAAGAAGGUCCUAUGGAUUGUAAACUGCUUUUAAACAGGAAGAAACACCCCGACGAGUCGGGGCUUGACGGUACUGUAAGAAUAAGCACCGGCUAACUCCGUGCCAGCAGCCGCGGUAAU
rnacentral:rRNA from 1 species